rnacentral:rRNA from 1 species
UACGAAUGGGGCUAGCGUUGUUCGGAUUUACUGGGCGUAAAGCGCACGUAGGCGGAUAGUUAAGUCAGGGGUGAAAUCCUGGGGCUCAACCCCAGAACUGCCUUUGAUACUGGCGAUCUCGAGUCCGGAAGAGGUGAGUGGAACUCCUAGUGUAGAGGUGGAAUUCGUAGAUAUUAGGAAGAACACCAGUGGCGAAGGCGGCUCACUGGUCCGGUACUGACGCUGAGGUGCGAAAGCGUGGGGAGCAAACAGG